rnacentral:rRNA from 1 species
UGGCAGCAGUCGAGAAUCAUUCACAAUGGGCGAAAGCCUGAUGGUGCAACGCCGCGUGGAGGAUGACGGCCCUAGGGUUGUAAACUCCUGUCAUCUGGGAGUAAUCCUUGUUCGUUAAUAGCGUGCAAGGUUGAUAGUACCAGAAGAGGAAGCGCCGGCUAACUCCGUGCCAGCAGCCGCGGUAAUACGGAGGGCGCAAGCGUUGUUCGGAAUCACUGGGCGUAAAGCGUGCGUAGGCGGCGCAGUAAGUCAGAUGUGAAAUCUCUGGGCUCAACCCGGAAACUGCAUCCGAUACUGCUGCGCUAGAGUAAUGGAGGGGUAGCUGGAAUUCUCGGUGUAGCAGUGAAAUGCGUAGAUAUCGAGAGGAACACUCGUGGCGAAGGCGAGCUACUGGACAUUUACUGACGCUGAGGCACGAAGGCUAGGGUAGCGAAAGGGAUUAGAUACCCCUGUAGUCCUAGCAGUAAACGGUGCGCGUUUGGUGUGGGAGGAUUCGACCCCUUCCGUGCCGGAGCUAACGCGUUAAACGCGCCGCCUGGGAAGUACGGCCGCAAGGCUAAAACUCAAAGAAAUUGACGGGGACCCGCACAAGCGGUGGAGUAUGUGGCUUAAUUCGAUGCAACGCGAAGAACCUUACCUAGGCUUGACAUGCUUGUCGUAGUUCUGUGAAAGCAGAUCGUCAGUUCGGCUGGACUUGCACAGGUGCUGCAUGGCUGUCGUCAGCUCGUGUCGUGAGAUGUUGGGUUAAGUCCCGCAACGAGCGCAACCCCUAUGAUUAGUUGCCAGCGAGUAAUGUCGGGGACUCUAGUCAGACUGCCUGUAUUAAACAGGAGGAAGGUGGGGACGACGUCAAGUCAGUAUGGCCCUUACGCCUAGGGCUGCACACGUACUACAAUGCCCAGUACAAUGUGAACCGAUACCGUAAGGUGGAGGAAAUCCUUAAAACUGGGCUCAGUUCGGAUUGUGGGCUGCAACUCGCCCACAUGAAGCUGGAAUCGCUAGUAAUGGCACAUCAGCUACGGUGCCGUGAAUACGUUCCCGGGUCUUGUACACACCGCCCGUCACAUCA